rnacentral:misc_RNA from 1 species
GAUGAAGACGUAGCGAAAUGCGAUAAGUAAUGUGAAUUGCAGAAUUCAGUGAAUCAUCGAAUCUUUGAACGCAGAUUGCGCCCGGUAGUAUUCUGCCGGGCAUGCCUGUUCGAGCGUCAUUUCAACCAUCAAGCCCCAGCGCUUGGGUUGGGGGCCUGCGGCUGCCGCAGCCCCCUAAAAGCAGUGGCGGGCUCGCUAUCACACCGAGUGCAGUAGUUCAUCUUCUCUCCGGUCUUGUGAGGCGGGUUCCGGCCGUGAAACACCCCACUACAUUCAAGGUUGACCUCGGAUCAGGUAGGAAUACCCGCUGAACUUAAGCAUAUCAAUAAGCGGAGGA